AAAUGUUUGAAGCCGAGUCUGGUGCGUAAAUUAGGCACUAGUACGGGGGACGAAAUACUUGGGGUGAAUAUUUGCUUCGGCUUGGAGCAGACUAGGGAGAACCUUCUUCCCGAACCCGUCAACUAACCUCGAAGGCUCAUGAAGGAGGAUUA
rnacentral:sRNA from 2 species